rnacentral:rRNA from 1 species
UACGGGGGAUGCGAGCGUUGUCCGGAUUCACUGGGCGUAAAGGGCGCGUAGGCGGCCCGGUCAGUCGGCGCUCUAAGUGCGGGGCUCAACCCCGUGAUGGCGCCGGGACGGCCGGGCUGGGGCGCGGCAGAGGGAGACGGAAUGCCGGGUGUAGUGGUGAAAUGCGUAGAGAUCCGGCGGAACACCGGUGGCGAAGGCGGUCUCCUGGGCCGAGGGCCGACGCUGAGGCGCGAGAGCGUGGGGAGCGAACAGG